rnacentral:lncRNA from 1 species
CUCCAUUACCUAAGUAUUAGACUGGACGGAAGAGAAGAGCAAAAAAUGGAACGGUUGAGAAAGAAAUCAAGAAUAUGGCGACUAGGGCAAAAUUAUACAUUUUUAUUCUUUGCAGAUGAUAUUUUCUCUUGACGGGACUUAUAUUAGCGUAUUGAUACAAUAAUUUUGUUUCUAGUUAAUGAAUUGUUAGAUCAUAACAUUCAUUUGUUUUACUGUGUUCGUACUAGAUUUAGUACUAAUGCCUCACCCGUAGUCUGGUUUUUCUUUUUAGAUUUUUUCUUUAGAAAACUAUCAUUUAUUUCUCUUGAUUUUUGUAGAUGAUUUUUCCUUUGAAUUUGAUUGGUCAAGAAAUAUUUGGUUAAGGUUUACAUCUUUUUCAGGAUUCAUCUUAGUUUGACUCGGCUAAAUGGAGAAAAUGAUACCGAGCUUGUAUCAGGCAUUUCAAACAUAUCAUCAUAAUUGGUCCUUGUAUAUAUAUGUGCAUAGUGAAAUUUUGU